rnacentral:rRNA from 1 species
UGGGGAAUCUUGGACAAUGGGCGCAAGCCUGAUCCAGCCAUGCCGCGUGAGUGACGAAGGUCUUCGGAUUGUAAAGCUCUUUUGGCGGGGACGAUAAUGACGGUACCCGCAGAAUAAGCCCCGGCUAACUUCGUGCCAGCAGCCGCGGUAAUACGAAGGGGGCUAGCGUUGUUCGGAAUUACUGGGCGUAAAGCGCACGUAGGCGGAUCUAUAAGUCAGGGGUGAAAUCCCGGGGCUCAACCUCGGAACUGCCUUUGAUACUGUAGAUCUCGAGUCCGGAAGAGGUGAGUGGAAUUCCUAGUGUAGAGGUGAAAUUCGUAGAUAUUAGGAAGAACACCAGUGGCGAAGGCGGCUCACUGGUCCGGUACUGACGCUGAGGUGCGAAAGCGUGGGGAGCAAACAGGAUUAGAUAUCCCCGUAGUCCCUGAGCGGGCUGGCAAGGCGCAU